UGUCGCAGGAUGAUGUGUUUGCUGCAGAUGCCAUUUGAAAAUAUAGGCAGUGUAAGCACUGUAGAAUCUAAUUAUUUCUUUGCAAAACCUAAUUAGGCAUUAAAAAAGGUUAACGCCAGCGCCUGAAACGUUUUUGUUUAAUAAUCCCAUUACUGACGGCUCAUCAUGUAUAAAAUGGUGCAGGAGGACACUAAGUUUCCACUUGUUAAAGGGAAUCUCUGAGAAAUAGUCGCAGAUUUUUGACACUAUCUGCGAUCGGAAAUUAGGGCUUGUAAUUAAACUGCGGAGACUCAGCACAGCACAGAAACUCUCCGAACGAUAGCGUACACUGAGACUAGACCUUGAUGAUUUUUUUAGGUGUCAGCUCCUCUCGGACCAUUACCAGUCACUAGAGAGCUCAAGAAAUGUGGGACUUCGGGGACGUUAAUGAUACCAGUAUAAGUCCCGCAUUGCUGCUGGGUGGAUGAGAACCAGCUGAGGAAGCUUUCUAAAGGUGAAGGUUAUUGAAAUCUCAACGUUAUCGUUUGAAAGCAAAUGGGACAAAUAUAUUAUAGGACAAUAUCAUUACUGUUUUAUAUUUAUCACGAUUUUGGCUUUUAGAAAGCCAGACUGCCUUUAAACAUUUUAAUGAUUAGAAACCCCUUGAGAUCAAACACCAGCACCAACAAACUCGCAGUUUCGAAUAAUUUACUCGAUUUUUUCCUCUUCUGUGGGUCGAGUUCUGUGGGUUAGGAGCCCCGAGCUUAAAAUAUGACACGACUUUUUUCCCUAAAAAGUAAGAAAAAAAUAUAAUAUAACACAAACAGCGUAAGUCUGCGUUUAAAUAAAAUAAAGUAAAAUAAAAUCUAAAAUAAACAAUCCGGAAGCCAGCCAAAGUAAUGAUAAGCUUUGAAAUUGUCUUGCCUUCAUAAUGUGGGGCCCUUCAAUCUGUUUUUUCAAUUUUUUUCUUUUUCUUUUUCUUUUUUAAACUGUACUUAUAUUUCGAUUUUUAAGUGUUAUUAUGGUUAUUUAUCGUCCGAGGACACGACUAUCAGUAACAGGGAAAACGAUGCAAGUAUUAUACUUACAGAAAUUGACUUCAGCAGAACAAUAUCUAUUGUCUUUGAUCUAAAGAAACACCCUUUUACGCAUUACGCACUCACUUUAUUCCGCUUUUAAUCUUUUCCUUCAAAGCUUCUUCAACAGUUUUCGAGAGAAAAAAGAAGGGAAAAAAGAAAGGAGUGUGAGUGACAGACCAAAGCGAAAAGCUUCUUAAAGAAAUAAACAGUCGUGUAUGCUUAAAGGAAUGCGCUUGUAGUGGCUCCAUCUUAGUCUCUGAAUCUAUUCGGACAAAACAAACAGGGCGUGGAAGGGGAUGAAAAUCGGGACAAGCGAGGAAGAAGAUGUUAAGAGAGAGUUGGUUUGAUAGGGAGGAAAAGAAGGACACGGUGAAUUUCCCUCAGACUGGUUAAAAGAACAAUAAAACGAGUUAUCAACAGACUCUGGCCUUUUUUCUCAAAGAAUGCGUUUCAAGCUUAUUUCACGAUGACUGCAGUGAUUAAUGGUGGGUGUGAAACCUCUAGGCGAACUGAUGAGGCCGAAUGAUAUCUUUAUAUCUUCAGGUUUAAAAAGUGAAGUUGUACAAUUUAUACAAAUGAAUGUUUUUGCUUAAUUUUUAUCCAAUCAAACUCCCAAAGAAAGCCGGAAUAAAGUCAGACACGCGUACCAGAUCUCCCCCAAGGCUAAAGGAAAGACAAAUAUUUACAUACCCGUUUACCUGCAGUAACUUGUCAGUUAUUUAAGUUAUUUAUUUGAGUUUGCUGUGCCUGUUUUCACUUCUGUCAGCUGGUUAAAAUAUACUUUGUUCUCUUGGCAGAUUUUAUUUGGAUUAGGGUUCUCUUACAAUCUUAAUAUUUUUUUUUUCACAAAAGAUAGAAAACAGCACACUAAAAUGUUUUUGAUUAAAUAUUUUAGGUUAUACAAAUUAUCCCUUAAUUUUAUUAGAACAUGCACAAUUUUCAAAAGAUAUCCUGCAAGUGGUCAUCUUACACAUGAUUGCUUUAACAGGCUGCUCUUAUAUAAGGCAAAAUGACAAAAACAGCAUGUUGACUCCUGAUAUUGGACCAUCUUGUUGGAGAUUUAGACCUGGAAUAUUUAUUUGAGCUAAACACUUUUGGAGGAGAUGUGAUCUACUGUUUAACAGACAAGUGGCUCCAGUUGUACCACAUUUUUGUCUGUUGUUUACAUGUAGUGUGUUUUCUUCAUUACAUUUGUAACGGCCCUCAGUUUGUGAUGGCCAUUACUGUCUGCUGCUGUAUGUGUUUACACACUAAAAACAGUUUUAUCACAUUUUGCAAAAUCUCUGAAAUCUUUUUUCAUGCCAGCCUUUUUUAUGCAAGUGCUCAGAAAUAAAACCUUCCCUGACAUGUUGGCUUUGAUUGACAUAAUGAUCACAGAACACUUAAGGCAAAUGAAAAUGAACUUGUUUGGAAGGUAAAACGUUAAAUAGAUUUAUCUUCCUGUAACAGGGGAGAUGUGUACAAUCAUACUGUAUUGUGUAACCAUUUUAAAUGUAUUAUGUGAGCCCUUAUUUCUUUUUAAAGUCUAACGUACAUCUAUCGAUAUUAUAGCUCACAUUAUAUGAAAUUAGAGCAAUUUGCAUAGAUGCACAUAGGUCUGGUUUUUGUCUUUCUUUUUGAUCAGUGUAUAUUAUUUACUGAUCAGCCAGGGUAUCUGGUGUCCACGCUUAGCACUGAGCCAAAAUCUAUUGAGAUAAAAAGCAAAAAGGGAUCUACCAGAAAGCUGACUUUCCCCCUUUUUUGGAAGUAAAGCCAUGUUUGUUUGUGGCUUGAAUGGGGGUUCUAUAAUGGAACUGAUGGCAUCAGGAUUGUCACCACAAAUGGUCUGGGCGUUCUGCAAGGCUGUUUGACAGAACCUAUUAUGUCAUUGGUCACGUCCCUCCACUCCUUGCUCGCUUGGUUUUGAAUGGGAGUGAAUUAAUCAAAUGGUUUGAGAGAGAUCAGCCAACUUAAUGCACUUUGUGUCAAGGUCUGCAGUGAUCUGGGACCUCAGCCCCCUUCUACCUGGACUUCCUGCAUCUGAACAUAUCCAUGCAUGGACUGUAACCUGGCUGAAUCAAAUUUCUAAAGGGACAUUUAUUAUGCCACAAAAACUGAAUUGUCUCUGCCCCUUUUUCCCCCAAGAGACUUUUUAUAAUAUAGCAUGAGUUGCCAUUUCAUCAUUUCUGUAGGUACUUAUUAGGUGUUAAAUAUACUAGUAUUGAAAGUAGCUAUGUGUCUAUGGCACCAUUUUUUAAAAAUGUUAUUUAUGUAACAGGCUAAAUCAUAUAUUUGCGAUGUUAUUGGACUGUAUGAGUCUGGAGUGGAAGACAAUUUAAACAGCACAUGGCUAUUUUUUUUUAUGUAUUUUCUAAUAAAUCAGCCUGUUUACUAUUACUAUUUUGAAGUUUAGUUUAUUUAAGAUCUUGAUGAAUUUACUGCUAAUAACAACCCCUAAAACAGAAUUUAUAACUAGAUUCUGUUGGGGGGUGUUGUGACUGCUCACUUAAUGACCACAGAAAUCGAGGACUGUGACACCAAUCAGAUUGUUUCUUCAUAUUGGAUUUACUUAAUUUCCAUGGAAAUUCACUCCUAGGGUUUCGUGAAGUUUAUCAGAUUCCACCCGGACAACAAGCAGUAAAGCCUUUAAAAGAGGAUCUGUUGGCUUCAGAAAUGAUCCUGAAAUACAUAUAUUUUUUAAUCAAAACUCAGCCACCAUCGUAUUUGUUUUCCAGGAGUGUAAAAUGGUCCAGAGUCGAGCGCCGUAACGUUAUUGCUUUAUCAAACACAAUCAAAAUGCGAAUUAAUCAAAGCACUCUGCGCUAGAGCACCUAUGCAUGAGCAUUGUUUGGUUGUAAUGGAUGGCUUUAAAAUUUGACGUUAUUAUUUCCCGUCAUUUCUGGAAACAAAUUGAACAUUUAUUGCAUAUAUAUUAAAAAUUAUACAGUCGUCAAGAGAGGCUGAUGUCUCUUUUAUUGAGGCGCACCGAGAGGUGAGGUCUCACCGGAUCAAUUUCCUUGUCUUGUUACUCCCGCAAGAGGAUGUUUGGAAAAUGCCUGCACCGCUAAAUUGAUUCAGAAACGAAUUCAUAACUUGAGGCGUUUAAGCAAUUUUGUGGCGCCCAGUUUUUAUCCCCAAUCUUUUCUUUUAUUUCGUGUUUUGAUUGCUUUAAGCACCCAAACAAAGUUUUAUACCAUUCGGUUUCUCGUGGAAACAGGUUUAUUGUCAGUUCUGCGGCCUUUUGUCCACGUUUGCCUAUUUUUCAUUCUUUACAAAAAAAUGCAUUUAAUACACUGGGUUUUGGGUGGCUUCGCAAACAUAGCCAUUAAGCAGUCACAAUGCUUUUAUUGUGCACUUGAUCUCAAAAUAGAGGCUGGUCUGACUCCAGGAUCCAGACAAACCUAUGGAAAAGGCCUUGUCUUUGUCUGCCUGUACGGAGAUGAAUGGCCCGUGUCAACCAGAUGAUUAGUUUGCACUAUUAAAUUGUCAAAAAGGAAGGAUUUUUCCCUAAUAGUGCCUUUUCGUGAAGAAUUAUGGAAUUCAGAGUUGUUUGCGACUGCCGGGGAACUUGCAGGGCUUUGCAGGGGCGAGGGCGAAGGUCAGACAGAGUUCUCAGCGCUGCGUCCAGUGUAGCACAGCAGUCAGAAGGGAAGUGGAGACAAAUGUAGGCUUAUUUCCUACACCAUGGGAAGAUUAAUACCUAUUGUUCGAGAUGACCGAUAUCCUUGCAGUGACAUAUGAUUCAACAAACUGAGGUGGGUUUAUCUUAACGCGCGAUAAGUCACCCAAAUCUUAAAACUUAGUGUGUAAUUGCGCACCAACAACUCGGCACAAAUGAUCAGCAAAUCGUCUAAGAACACUCAUAUAACUUAAAUUGGAAUUAUUUGUUCAAAUUUAAAAUAACGAAGCUGCUGCAUAAUAUCAAACGCACAAAAUGUGCAGUCUUGCGCCAGAUCUGUCGCUGCACAUUGGCUGUCUUUCUGCACGCCCUGACAGUUCUGCUCCAGCCAGGAAACCCCCUUCCAUCCCGCUCAACCUCUAUUCUAGUGCCAACGUUUUGUGUUAAAUGUUAACAACUUGGCCUGAUUCAUUUAAUCGCCAACAAAUCUGUGUUGACUCUAACACUCGCCUCCAUUGUGCCCAUUAUGCGCCUGCCCUCACUUGAAGAUUUAUGUAUUUUUGAUAUUAAAUUCCUUCUGUCAUCAAGACUGCUCUCUUGUUGACUUUUCUUGACCUGCCGACCUCGUUCCCCAAACUUUCCCAUAUUUAACGCGGGACCCGCAGCCUCCUCCCCACCAACUUCUUCUGCUCUGCCAUAGCUGAAUGCUCAGUGGCUCCUUUUGUUGGCAUGUGCUGUUUGCACUGUUCUUGAACUUCAGUGCGCUGCCCUGUCCUCAUCCUGUACUUUGAACUCUGCAGUAAAAUCUUCCGUCGAAAAAAAACACACGCAUUGUUCGCCAACGGAUGGAGUCAGUCCCUUAAAUGUUGCACACUCUUUAAUUUGCUAUAAAACAGAGUGGACGGACUGUCCGAGCAUCAUAAUUUGGCCGAUGUGACGGAUUAUUAUCUGAUCCUUGAUGCUCACUAUCCACGCAGUCUUGGCUGGAUUUGUGUGCUCCAUCCACAUCAUCCAAACUGCAUUCAUCCUCUGUUGAAUCAGAGUGACGGAUGCCCGUACCUUUGCCAUAUAUGACGUCCAUGUCGUCUAUACAAGCCUCCCUCUGGUUGCCCAGCUUGCUAAUUAGUUAAACAAACGUUCAUACUAAUGAUCCCACUGGCCUGGUGAGCUUCGGGGUUUUUGUUCGCCUACUUUCCCCCAACUUCUCCCGCUGGAAACUUGGCCCUGCUGACCCGAGCUAUCACGAAGCUGUGUAGAUGGCUGGACCGCCCUGUCCGGAGUCCAACCCCCACAGAGGGCAAAGGGCAGCGUCCAAGGCCCGGGAAUGUCACCACCAGCUGCUUGCGGUGACACCAUUUACAAAGGGGGCUUGGUGAGCAAUCCUUCUAUGGGUUGUCAGUGUUGUGACAGUGCUGUUCUGACAUUUAUUUACUUGUAGGAUCAAAACUGACGGUUUGGCUUAAGCAAAGAGCCAAGUUGUACAUUGGUUCAAAGGUAAAGAAAGCAUCUGCUAAUGCUUUAUAAAUUAGUUAUAUUCCACUAAUAAUGAGAUGCUGGCAGUUGGCAGGUGAUGAAAACUACCUGACUGGUGUCUGUAGAUAAUCUGUAUUAAUUACUGACUCGUAAAACGUAUUAAUGCUAAUAACUAUAGACAAGAACCAUACAAUUUAUCAGUGAAGUAUUAAUAUGUUUAAAUAAGGCAUCAAAUACAGAGGUUAACAACCUGGUAGACCCAUGCUGUAACUUUUGCCAUCGUAAUUAAGGGAGGAAAGACCCCAGGUCUAAUAGCAUUGUGUUUGAUCAUUUGAAAGUCAGUAGUUAGAAAUUUGCAGCUUUUUUCUUAGUGCAGUAAAUAAAUAAAUAAAAGCGAUCUGCAGUCUAACAGCGGUAAGUAUCUAUGAAUUGCUAAUACCAGCAACAUUUAAACCAGAAAGUGCUUUCGCAGCAAUGCAAAAUGUUCAUGCAACAUAUUUUUGUGUUUAUUCAUUAGACUGAUUAAUGAAUGCAUCGCCUGCCAGAGAAGUGAUUAGUUAACAAGAUUAUUCCGAUUAAAUAUUUAAUAAUGUUGUCAUUCUUCCACCAAUAUAAACAGUGCCUGGGGUAAACUGCAGCAACGCAAAUAGUAACGGUAAUUAUAGGCAAUAAGGCGGUCAUAAGCGAAAGGUUUGUGCGUUUAUGUGAAAGCUAUCCUGGGUUUAUGUCCCGCUCUUCCUAAAUUCAAACGUUUUUCUUUCUCUGCAGCGCGCCGUGCGGUUAACACUGGGCCCAUUACACGUUGUCAUUUGUGGCUCUUGGUGUUAUUUGGACAAUGUUUGGCCAUUUACCCAGCCUGUGUCUGCGCGCUCCAAGGAGGUCUCGACAGAAAUUGAUACUAAUUGCAGGGACUGUACACUGCUGGCUAGUGGAGCGCCUGCAGGCAGUUGGAGGACCUGCUUGUCACCGCCUAAUUGACAAGGGCUUGUCUGUCCUGGGAGCAGCUGGUCCUAAGCACUGGCGCACAAUCGCAAUCUUGACACGGCCUCCACUCGCCUGAAGGAGUUUUGAGGGGAAACGCCGUUAAAGGGAGAUUUAUUGAAUCUCCCUUUGGGUGACGCUGUAUUAAGUACGCAAUAUAGGCUUAUAUCCACGGGUGCAAAAGGGAGUCACACUCCUGGUAUUAAUAACAGAAGGUGGCAAUUAGGCCAGACAGGUGACAUUUCUUGUGACAUUAUGAAUCACAGCAAACAAGACAAGCGCGGGUAAAUAAAGGCUAUGUGAAAUCGCUUUUAAGGAAAAGUUAUUUUACUUUUAGCAGCUACAUGACACACAAUGAGCCUGUAUGCGCAAAUCGGAUGACUUCAGGGGGAUGUGUUGCACCAGCCAUUCAGCUGGCUCAGACACAAAUAACAUCACCCCUCACAGUAAAAUAAUCAAUUCAUUAUUCUGGCCUGUUUCUAUUAGACCAUGUCGUUAUAGCUGAAUGCAUCAGGAGGAAAAAGCCAAGCAAGUAUUGUUUUCGUCUGCAAAUGGAAAAAGGUUUUCCUGCACUUUCCCACUGCCUGUAAAGAAAUGCUGCUUUUCUGGGCCUUUUGAACUGAAAAUCGUGAUUUUUCCCCUGGUGUUCUCCGGACGCGCUCCUUUCUUUCUGCGGAACAAUGACAACACUGGAGCACCCCGCCGGUGCGCCACAGUUGGGGAUCUCCAUGAUUGUUUUGGACAUCUUUGGAUUUCAUCAAUCAAAAUGACUGCAGUUUUCCAUAAAAAUGCUGAAUUUGGUCCUGGAACCGAGCGGGCAAGGUAGAAAAUACGAAGCUGUCCUUCUCGAUGAUAAAUGGCCAUCCUUUGAUUGAGCAAAUAGAGAAAUACGUGCCAUAGUACUGAGAAACAGGCGAAGAUUGUGAGGCGAGGACUCAUGGUCUUGUGUCAGAUCAUGCCAGAAAUGAAUCACCACAAAUCAUUAGGCUAUAAAAGCGACUGCAUUUUCCCAAACCCUGGAAAUCUGUAAGGCUUAAGAGCAGGCUAGAUCUUAACUGAUCCACACUUAAGUAAAACUUAAGUAGCUUAAUGGCCACUAUUACCAGAACGAUAAGUAUUACGCACGCUUAAGAAAAAUGUUAAAACUCUUUUUACACUAGUGCCAUGAAGGUUAUUUUUCAACUACUCAAGCCGAAACAGUGAGUGUCAGACAGACAUUAAGUUCACCAACGGGUGCCAUAUCAUACCGAUAAUAUUGGUCUUUAUUUUACCAGGUUAAGUGUAACAAAUGAAACGCGUGCUCAUAAACUUAAAGGAGGCUUUGGCCUGGAACUAUAGGGAGCUGGUCCACUAUCCCUGCCUGCCCUCCCAUCCAAUAAACCUCUAUUAACAUGGAAAUGUCACAUCCCAUUGACUAAAACUCAAUUAUGUGCACACUCGCAGCAUCUUUAGAGUGGACUAAAACUUUUAAUUUCCCCAAAAAGCCGUUUUGAUUUAAUGGCCAUUCAGAAGCCCAUGAAGGUGUUCUAUCUAAAUGGCCUUAAUGCCGCGGCUAAUUAUCCAGUAUUGACAUAUUGUCCCGCCUCAGGUCAACAGGUCAGCAGUUGGAGAUUAAUGACACCGGAAGGAGGUUGUAGGAAGAGGUAACAAGGAAACCUGACUGUAAUUUUUUAUAUUGCAAUAUAAUACUUAAGAUUUUGUUCACUUCAAUGUUUUCGGCUAUAACAGGCCGUGUAAUGUUACUCAGACAUUGUUGGGGUGGUUUUUACCUUCGUGUUUACUGCUCAUAUAAAAUCCCAUCAAUGGCCCUCCUAGAUUAUUUAUUAUUCAAAUGAGAAUUUAUAGUUUCUACUUUAUAAGUAGCGACUUUCGGUUUAGGUUUGUAUCUUUCUUUUUGCUUUUAUCACCACGGUUAUAUUUCUGUUUUCAUAUAGCGUAUUUUCUUUUAAUGAUUUUAGGCUAGUAGUGCAUUCUUGUAAGGACUCUUCCCCUCCCUCAUUCCCUCUAAAAGAUACAACAGAACUGACUGGCUUGUCGAGCUUGAAGAAUUGUUUAAUUUCAGAGCCCCGGCGUUUCCUGAGGUGAGGUCUGCAUUGGCUGCUAAUAGAGAUCUAAUUGAUGGGCCGAGUCCCGUUUCCGUGCUCUCUCUCCCUUUAUUGCGCCCCGGCGUCUGCUGUAAAAUAGGUCUGUAAUCAGAUUCCGCCUAUUCCUCCUGGAGCAGGAUGAGAGCUCAGGGCUGCGGAGAGAAAGAGAUGGGGCAAAAAAAAGAAAGAACAGGGGGGAAAAAAUCGUUAUUAAAAAAGUUAAGCCUUGAGUAGAAAUUCAACAUACUGUUGAGGCUUGAUGAAAAAGAGGAAAGUCGGCUUUAACAUACAAAUUGCCUGACUUUUCUUUAAAUAAACCCACAUUAUUACUAUAGAACCCUCCAGUGCGGCUGCAGCACUCAUUAGUGAUUUUUUUAAUCUGUCAGAAUAGCCUUUUUCUCCUUUGGGAUUUAUAGGUUUGCAAUAUUUUUUAUACUGAACUCUUACAAGAUUAAUAUAGAUCUGUCAUAAAAGGCUUUGAUAUUGCUGACAAAUGCGCCUUCUAUAAUUAUUAUUUUAACAUGGUUAUAUGUGCUUUCAUGACUCGCACUCUUAGUUCAUGAUCUAAUCAAAUAUCACACAGUCCACUGUUGUUGUCAUUCACCCAGAAGGUACAGAAGAUGUCAAUCAAAUCAGACUGGCAGCAACAGAAACACACUGAUUCUCUAUUUUUUAUUUUUUUUUGCCAUCUCCUCUGCU